rnacentral:rRNA from 1 species
CCUACGGGAGGCAGCAGUGAGGAAUAUUGGUCAAUGGACGCGAGUCUGAACCAGCCAAGUAGCGUGAAGGAUGACUGCCCUAUGGGUUGUAAACUUCUUUUUUAUGGGAAUAAAAUGUUCCACGUGUGGGAUUUUGUAUGUACCAUAUGAAUAAGGAUCGGCUAAAUCCGUGCCAGCAGCCGCGGGACUACGGAGGAUGCGAGCUUUAUCCGGAUUUGUUGGGUUUAAAGGGAGCGUAGGUGGAUUGUUAAGUCAGUUGUGAAAGCUUGCGGUUCAACCGUAAAAUUGCAUUUGAAACUGGCAGUCUUGAGUACAGUAGAGGUGGGCGGAAUUCGUGGUGUAGCGGUGAAAUGCGUAGAUAUCACGAAGAACACCGAUUGCGAAGGCAGCUGACUGGACUGCAACUGACACUGAGGCUCGAAAGUGUGGGUAGCAAACAGGAUUAGAUACCCGAGUAGUC